rnacentral:rRNA from 3 species
AAAUUGAAGAGUUUGAUCAUGGCUCAGAUUGAACGCUGGCGGCAGGCCUAACACAUGCAAGUCGAGCGGUAGCACAGAGAGCUUGCUCUCGGGUGACGAGCGGCGGACGGGUGAGUAAUGUCUGGGAAACUGCCUGAUGGAGGGGGAUAACUACUGGAAACGGUAGCUAAUACCGCAUAACGUCGCAAGACCAAAGUGGGGGACCUUCGGGCCUCAUGCCAUCAGAUGUGCCCAGAUGGGAUUAGCUAGUAGGUGGGGUAACGGCUCACCUAGGCGACGAUCCCUAGCUGGUCUGAGAGGAUGACCAGCCACACUGGAACUGAGACACGGUCCAGACUCCUACGGGAGGCAGCAGUGGGGAAUAUUGCACAAUGGGCGCAAGCCUGAUGCAGCCAUGCCGCGUGUGUGAAGAAGGCCUUCGGGUUGUAAAGCACUUUCAGCGGGGAGGAAGGCGUUAAGGUUAAUAACCUUGGCGAUUGACGUUACCCGCAGAAGAAGCACCGGCUAACUCCGUGCCAGCAGCCGCGGUAAUACGGAGGGUGCAAGCGUUAAUCGGAAUUACUGGGCGUAAAGCGCACGCAGGCGGUCUGUCAAGUCGGAUGUGAAAUCCCCGGGCUCAACCUGGGAACUGCAUUCGAAACUGGCAGGCUAGAGUCUUGUAGAGGGGGGUAGAAUUCCAGGUGUAGCGGUGAAAUGCGUAGAGAUCUGGAGGAAUACCGGUGGCGAAGGCGGCCCCCUGGACAAAGACUGACGCUCAGGUGCGAAAGCGUGGGGAGCAAACAGGAUUAGAUACCCUGGUAGUCCACGCCGUAAACGAUGUCGAUUUGGAGGUUGUGCCCUUGAGGCGUGGCUUCCGGAGCUAACGCGUUAAAUCGACCGCCUGGGGAGUACGGCCGCAAGGUUAAAACUCAAAUGAAUUGACGGGGGCCCGCACAAGCGGUGGAGCAUGUGGUUUAAUUCGAUGCAACGCGAAGAACCUUACCUGGUCUUGACAUCCACAGAACUUUCCAGAGAUGGAUUGGUGCCUUCGGGAACUGUGAGACAGGUGCUGCAUGGCUGUCGUCAGCUCGUGUUGUGAAAUGUUGGGUUAAGUCCCGCAACGAGCGCAACCCUUAUCCUUUGUUGCCAGCGGUCCGGCCGGGAACUCAAAGGAGACUGCCAGUGAUAAACUGGAGGAAGGUGGGGAUGACGUCAAGUCAUCAUGGCCCUUACGACCAGGGCUACACACGUGCUACAAUGGCAUAUACAAAGAGAAGCGACCUCGCGAGAGCAAGCGGACCUCAUAAAGUAUGUCGUAGUCCGGAUUGGAGUCUGCAACUCGACUCCAUGAAGUCGGAAUCGCUAGUAAUCGUAGAUCAGAAUGCUACGGUGAAUACGUUCCCGGGCCUUGUACACACCGCCCGUCACACCAUGGGAGUGGGUUGCAAAAGAAGUAGGUAGCUUAACCUUCGGGAGGGCGCUUACCACUUUGUGAUUCAUGACUGGGGUGAAGUCGUAACAAGGUAACCGUAGGGGAACCUGCGGUUGGAUCACCUCCUUACCUUAAAGAA